rnacentral:snoRNA from 2 species
CACCUCUCAAGGUCGCACCUGGAGAGUUUCCAGUCCUCUACCAGUCUCGACUAGGGGAGGGAGAGUCAAGCAGAGGCCGAUCCAUUCCAUUCCUAACUUGGCCAGUGGCUGGCGAGUGGAAGGCCAUCUGCUACAAGU